CUCUAUACGGAGUUACAAAGGACGACAUUAGACGAAUCAUCUGGAAAGAUGAAUCAAAGAAGGUAAUAAUCCUGUAGUCGAAAAUGUUGUCUCUCUUGAGUGGAUCCUGAGUACGACGGAGCACGUGAAAUUCCGUUGGAAUCUGGGAGGACCAUCUCCUAAGGCUAAAUACUCUCUAGUGACCGAUAGUGAACCAGUACCGUGAGGGAAAGGUGAAAAGCACCCCGGAAGGGGAGUGAAAUAGAACCUGAAACCGUGUGCUUACAAGUAGUCAGAGCCCGUUAAUGGGUGAUGGCGUGCCUUUUGUAGAAUGAACCGGCGAGUUACGAUUUGAUGCAAGGUUAAGCAGUAAAUGUGGAGCCGUAGCGAAAGCGAGUCUGAAUAGGGCGUUUAGUAUUUGGUCGUAGACCCGAAACCAGGUGAUCUACCCUUGGUCAGGUUGAAGUUCAGGUAACACUGAAUGGAGGACCGAACCGACUUACGUUGAAAAGUGAGCGGAUGAACUGAGGGUAGCGGAGAAAUUCCAAUCGAACCUGGAGAUAGCUGGUUCUCUCCGAAAUAGCUUUAGGGCUAGCCUCAAGUGAUGAUUAUUGGAGGUAGAGCACUGUUUGGACGAGGGGCCCCUCUCGGGUUACCGAAUUCAGACAAACUCCGAAUGCCAAUUAAUUUAACUUGGGAGUCAGAACAUGGGUGAUAAGGUCCGUGUUCGAAAGGGAAACAGCCCAGACCACCAGCUAAGGUCCCAAAAUAUAUGUUAAGUGGAAAAGGAUGUGGCGUUGCCCAGACAACUAGGAUGUUGGCUUAGAAGCAGCCAUCAUUUAAAGAGUGCGUAAUAGCUCACUAGUCGAGUGACACUGCGCCGAAAAUGUACCGGGGCUAAACAUAUUACCGAAGCUGUGGAUUGUCCUUUGGACAAUGGUAGGAGAGCGUUCUAAGGGCGUUGAAGCAUGAUCGUAAGGACAUGUGGAGCGCUUAGAAGUGAGAAUGCCGGUGUGAGUAGCGAAAGACGGGUGAGAAUCCCGUCCACCGAUUGACUAAGGUUUCCAGAGGAAGGCUCGUCCGCUCUGGGUUAGUCGGGUCCUAAGCUGAGGCCGACAGGCGUAGGCGAUGGAUAACAGGUUGAUAUUCCUGUACCACCUAUAAUCGUUUUAAUCGAUGGGGGGACGCAGUAGGAUAGGCGAAGCGUGCGAUUGGAUUGCACGUCUAAGCAGUAAGGCUGAGUAUUAGGCAAAUCCGGUACUCGUUAAGGCUGAGCUGUGAUGGGGAGAAGACAUUGUGUCUUCGAGUCGUUGAUUUCACACUGCCGAGAAAAGCCUCUAGAUAGAAAAUAGGUGCCCGUACCGCAAACCGACACAGGUAGUCAAGAUGAGAAUUCUAAGGUGAGCGAGCGAACUCUCGUUAAGGAACUCGGCAAAAUGACCCCGUAACUUCGGGAGAAGGGGUGCUCUUUAGGGUUAACGCCCAGAAGAGCCGCAGUGAAUAGGCCCAAGCGACUGUUUAUCAAAAACACAGGUCUCUGCUAAACCGUAAGGUGAUGUAUAGGGGCUGACGCCUGCCCGGUGCUGGAAGGUUAAGAGGAGUGGUUAGCUUCUGCGAAGCUACGAAUCGAAGCCCCAGUAAACGGCGGCCGUAACUAUAACGGUCCUAAGGUAGCGAAAUUCCUUGUCGGGUAAGUUCCGACCCGCACGAAAGGCGUAACGAUUUGGGCACUGUCUCAACGAGAGACUCGGUGAAAUCAUAGUACCUGUGAAGAUGCAGGUUACCCGCGACAGGACGGAAAGACCCCGUGGAGCUUUACUGUAGCCUGAUAUUGAAAUUCGGCACAGCUUGUACAGGAUAGGUAGGAGCCUUUGAAACGUGAGCGCUAGCUUACGUGGAGGCGCUGGUGGGAUACUACCCUAGCUGUGUUGGCUUUCUAACCCGCACCACUUAUCGUGGUGGGAGACAGUGUCAGGCGGGCAGUUUGACUGGGGCGGUCGCCUCCUAAAAGGUAACGGAGGCGCUCAAAGGUUCCCUCAGAAUGGUUGGAAAUCAUUCAUAGAGUGUAAAGGCAUAAGGGAGCUUGACUGCGAGACCUACAAGUCGAGCAGGGUCGAAAGACGGACUUAGUGAUCCGGUGGUUCCGCAUGGAAGGGCCAUCGCUCAACGGAUAAAAGCUACCCCGGGGAUAACAGGCUUAUCUCCCCCAAGAGUUCACAUCGACGGGGAGGUUUGGCACCUCGAUGUCGGCUCAUCGCAUCCUGGGGCUGUAGUCGGUCCCAAGGGUUGGGCUGUUCGCCCAUUAAAGCGGUACGCGAGCUGGGUUCAGAACGUCGUGAGACAGUUCGGUCCCUAUCCGUCGUGGGCGUAGGAAAUUUGAGAGGAGCUGUCCUUAGUACGAGAGGACCGGGAUGGACAUACCUCUGGUGUACCAGUUGUCGUGCCAACGGCAUAGCUGGGUAGCUAUGUGUGGACGGGAUAAGUGCUGAAAGCAUCUAAGCAUGAAGCCCCCCUCAAGAUGAGAUUUCCCAACUUCGGUUAUAAGAUCCCUCAAAGAUGAUGAGGUUAAUAGGUUCGAGGUGGAAGCAUGGUGACAUGUGGAGCUGACGAAUACUAAUCGAUCGAAGACUUAAUCAAAUU
rnacentral:rRNA from 1 species